GGGCGUAAAGAGUUCGUAGGCGGUCUGUCGCGUCGGAAGUGAAAACCCGGAGCUCAACUCCGGGCCUGCUUUCGAUACGGGCAGACUUGAGUGUUGCAGGGGAGACUGGAAUUCCUGGUGUAGCGGUGGAAUGCGCAGAUAUCAGGAGGAACACCGGUGGCGAAGGCGGGUCUCUGGGCAACAACUGACGCUGAGGAACGAAAGCGUGGGAAGCGAACAGGAUUAGAUACCCUGGUAGUCCACGCUGUAAACGGUGGGCACUAGGUGUGGGGACCAUUCCACGGUCUCUGCGCCGCAGCUAACGCAUUAAGUGCCCCGCCUGGGGAGUACGGCCGCAAGGCUAAAACUCAAAGGAAUUGACGGGGGCCCGCACAAGCGGCGGAGCAUGCGGCUUAAUUCGAGGCAACGCGAAGAACCUUACCUAGGCUUGACAUAUAGCGAAAAGUGGCAGAGAUGUCAUGUCCGCAAGGGCGCUAUACAGGUGGUGCAUGGUUGUCGUCAGCUCGUGUCGUGAGAUGUUGGGUUAAGUCCCGCAACGAGCGCAACCCUCGUUCUGUGUUACCAGCAUUCAGUUGGGGACUCACAGGAGACUGCCGGGGUCAACUCGGAGGAAGGUAAU
rnacentral:rRNA from 1 species